CGAACGGGUGAGUAAUAUAUCGGAACGUGCCCUAGAGUGGGGGAUAACUAGUCGAAAGACUAGCUAAUACCGCAUACGAUCUACGGAUGAAAGUGGGGGAUCGCAAGACCUCAUGCUCCUGGAGCGGCCGAUAUCUGAUUAGCUAGUUGGUGGGGUAAAAGCCUACCAAGGCAACGAUCAGUAGCUGGUCUGAGAGGACGACCAGCCACACUGGGACUGAGACACGGCCCAGACUCCUACGGGAGGCAGCAGUGGGGAAUUUUGGACAAUGGGGGCAACCCUGAUCCAGCAAUGCCGCGUGAGUGAAGAAGGCCUUCGGGUUGUAAAGCUCUUUUGUCAGGGAAGAAACGGUUCUGGAUAAUACCUGGAGCUAAUGACGGUACCUGAAGAAUAAGCACCGGCUAACUACGUGCCAGCAGCCGCGGUAAUACGUAGGGUGCAAGCGUUAAUCGGAAUUACUGGGCGUAAAGCGUGCGCAGGCGGUUGUGUAAGUCAGAUGUGAAAUCCCCGGGCUCAACCUGGGAAUUGCAUUUGAGACUGCACAGCUAGAGUGUGUCAGAGGGGGGUAGAAUUCCACGU
rnacentral:rRNA from 1 species